AAAAAGUUAGUUAAAAUAAUAACCUAAAUUUGUCAAAUUUAAAUUAUAACUUAUUAUACUUUUUU
rnacentral:tRNA from 1 species